UUGACCUCGAAUCAGGUAGGAAUACCCGCUGAACUUAAGCAUAUCAAUAAGCGGAGGAAAAGAAACCAACAGGGAUUGCCUUAGUAACGGCGAGUGAAGCGGCAACAGCUCAAAUUUGAAAUCUGGCCUAUGGUCCGAGUUGUAAUUUGCAGAGGAUGCUUCGGGCGCGGUGCCUUCCAAGUCCCCUGGAACGGGGCGCCGGAGAGGGUGAGAGCCCCGUACGGUUGGCGGCCAAGCCUGUGUGAAGCUCCUUCGACGAGUCGAGUAGUUUGGGAAUGCUGCUCUAAGCGGGAGGUAGACCCCUUCUAAAGCUAAAUACCGGCCAGAGACCGAUAGCGCACAAGUAGAGUGAUCGAAAGAUGAAAAGCACUUUGAAAAGAGGGUUAAACAGCACGUGAAAUUGUUGAAAGGGAAGCGCUUGUGACCAGACGUGCGCCGGGGUGUUCAGCGGGCGUUCUCGCCCGUGCACUCGCCCCGGUGCAGGCCAGCGUCGGUUUGGGUGGGGGGAUAAAGGCGUCUGGAAUGUGGCUCCUCCGGGAGUGUUAUAGCCAGACGUGCCAUGCCUCCGCCUGGACCGAGGUACGCGUUCUGCAAGGACGCUGGCGUAAUGGUCUCCAGCGACCCGUCUUGAAACACGGACCAAGGAGUCGAGGUUUUGCGCGAGUGUUUGGGUGGAAAACCCGCACGCGUAAUGAAAGUGAACGUAGGUGAGAGCUUCGGCGCAUCACCGACCGAUCCUGAUGUUUUCGGAUGGAUUUGAGUAAGAGCGUAGGGCCUCGGACCCGAAAGAUGGUGAACUAUGCUUGGAUAGGGUGAAGCCAGAGGAAACUCUGGUGGAGGCUCGCAGCGGUUCUGACGUGCAAAUCGAUCGUCAAAUCUGAGCAUGGGGGCGAAAGACUAAUCGAACCAUCUAGUAGCUGGUUACCGCCGAAGUUUCCCUCAGGAUAGCAGUGUUGUUCUUCAGUUUUAUGAGGUAAAGCGAAUGAUUAGGGACUCGGGGGCGCUAUUUAGCCUUCAUCCAUUCUCAAACUUUAAAUAUGUAAGAAGCCCUUGUUGCUUAAUUGAACGUGGGCAUUCGAAUGUAUCAACACUAGUGGGCCAUUUUUGGUAAGCAGAACUGGCGAUGUGGGAUGAACCAUACGGGGGGUUAAGGUGCCAGAGUAGACGCUCAUCAGACACCACAAAAGGCGUUAGCACAUCUUGACAGCAGGACGGUGGCCAUGGAAGUCGGAAUCCGCUAAGGACUGUGUAACAACUCACCUGCCGAAUGUGCUAGCCCUGAAAAUGGAUGA
rnacentral:rRNA from 1 species